rnacentral:lncRNA from 1 species
CCCUAGUAGUCGGUGGCUGGUCGGUGACUGGGACCAGACCGUCGCCUCCUCCCUUUUACAGCUUUAAGUCUGUGACCCGAGGCCUCUCUGUAUAUUCCCGUGGGGUUGGGCCUAGUUGUCCUGGGAGAAACUAGAUGGAUGAGGAGUAUUUCCGAGACAGGUCCCAGGGCCAGCGCAGCCUUUUCUGUUGCAGAACCGCGACUGUUGUUUUGGGAUCCAGGCCGGAGGGUUUGUUGCUUGUGUUCAUUCCAGUUAACCAUUAGUACUCGAGAAGGUGGUACAGAACGCAUCUAUCCCCUUAGAAGAAAAGAAAUUAAAAGCCAAACUAAACUGGGAUAUAUAUUAAUAUAGGAAACUACCACUGAGACAUAGGAAAGUGUAUUAAAAUAUAACUAGUGAGGUGCUAUGUAUAAUUCAGAGGAAGGGGAAAUUAUGCAUGGGCCAGACUACUAACAAAAGGCUCCAAAGCCUGGGAUACGCUGAGGGCCUUUCCAUAACAGAAAAUGAAAAGGAACCUAAAUUUGAGACUAGAUUUGAGGAAAGGCACAGUUGCGCUGGAGUAGAAAGCGUCUGUCUACCGCAGUGGAAACGAUAUGUUAUUGUAUCCCCAGCACCAUACAAAGGACAUACAAGGGCCAAAUACUGUGGGAAUAUUUAUUAAUGAUAUUAAUGAUGAUGCUGUCCGGGCCAAAGGAAAACUUCCGCUUCACCUUCUGAAGUUUCGCUGAAAGUCACUGACAGGAGGCAGUUAAUAGGAGAAAAGACAUAGACAUUGAUUUGACCAUCGUUUUAUGUGACACGGGAGCCUUCAGAAUGAAGACCCAAAGAUAACAAGGGAAAUCGUGUAUUUGUAUGCUUAGGUUCAACAAAGCAUGGACAGCCGUAUAAAAAAAUGACUGGACAAGGCCGGGCGCGGUGGCUCACGCCUGUAAUCUCAGCACUUUGGGAGGCUGAGGCGGGCGGAUCACAAGGUCAGGAGAUCGAGACCAUCCUGGCUAACACAGUGAAACCCCGUCUCUACUAAAAAUACUAAAAAUUAGCCAGGCGUGGUGGCGGGCGCCUGUAGUCCCAGCUACUCAGGAGGCUGAGGCAGGAGAAUGGCGUGAACCCGGGAGGCGGAGCUUGCAGUGAGCCGAGAUUGCGUCACCGCACUCCAGCCUGGGCGACAGAGCGAGACUCCGUCUCAAAAAAAAUGACUGGACAAAAAACACUCUGAUGCAAACAGGCAAGAAACCCAGCAAGGCCUAUCUGGAUUCUCCUUGGCCUGUCUGCAGCAUUCAUUCCUUCUGGGUAUGGAACAGGACCCUCUGGAAUGGGGGCUGUGGCCUACAACAGUUAAACAAGAAAUCUCUCUCUGGGAACAGUGUGGAAGAUGGAUUGAAAUGGUGUAAAAUUGAAGAUGUGGACUCCGGUUGGGAGACUACACCCUAGAUAAGAUGAAGAGAACUUGAAGCAAGACAAUAGCAAUGGGAAUAUAAAGGAGAGGAGACAUUUGAGUGAAAUUAAGGAAGCACAAUCUGCAGACUGUUUUCUUUUUUUUAAGAGUCAGGGUCUCCCUAUUUUGCCCAGGCUGGUCUCAAAGUCCUAGGCUCAAGCGACCCACCCACCUCAGCCUUCCAAAAUGCUGGAAUUACAGGGGUGAACUGCCUCACCAUGCCUCAGUCUGCAGAAUUUGAUGACUGAAUGUAUUUGGAGAGAGUCUGUGGCUUGGAUGACUGGGAGCUGUGAUUGGUUGAUUGAUUUUGAGGCGGAGUUUCACUCUUGUUGCCCAGGCUGAAGUGCAGUGGCACAACCUCUGCUCACUGCAACCGCUGCCUUCCAGUUUCAAGCGAUUCUCCUGCCUCAGCCUCCCAAGUAGCUGGGAUUACAGGCGCCUGCCACAACGUCUGGAGACGGAGUUUCUCCAUUUUGGCCAGUUUGGUGUCGA